CUCAUAAACAACCAUCACAAAAUAAAAAAACAGCUUUUUAUUUUAGCUAGUUUUAUGUUUACAUCCCAAUCAGUCAUUGCAUAUAUAAGCACACACCUCAGUCACACUCAUUGUCUGGUCUCAGUGCGGACUACGGACUUCAUACCUGCGAAUUACUUACCUGCAUACCUUACCUCCAGCGCCUUUGUCUCCAUUGCUCCUUGUGAUCUUCUCCUGCACUCCUCAGAAGAUCCCUUCCUCAUCAUCUCCUGUCUCCAUUACGCUUCACUCCCACACUCACCAAGAAACCAAUUACCAUCGGCAACUGAGGUGUGUGCACUCCAUCAUUCACAUGUCAUUACAGUCACAAUCUCCCAUCACAACCUGCAAAAAUAAAAUUGUUAUUUCAAUCAGUCAACCUAUCAAACUUGCAUUAUCGUCAUUUCUUCUCACCUGUUGUGUCACUGCUCCGCUGCUGCAAAUAAAAUCUGUUAAAAGGUCCCAUGGCAUGAAAAUUUCACUUUAUGAGGUUUUUUAACAUUAAUAUGAGUUCCCCUAGCCUGCCUAUGGUCCCCCAAUGGCUAGAAAAGGCGAUGGGUGUAAACCGAGCAUGUGUUGUUGUGGACAACAGCAUGAGCAUGGCAGUUGCUCAUUGUUUGGACAAAUGAACACCAAAGUAUUUUUUUAGUUCCUUCAUCCGAGCCUAUGAAGAAAUAGUGGGUUCAUUUUAUUUUCUCUGGUAAUGCUCCGAUACAACUUUCCAAAGUUUUGUAUGUCUGCGCCACACAUUUCACCAACGACUGUUUCCUCAACGUGGGCCAAUACAGCCCAGUUACUGUCGCUAAUGUAAAGGUAGAUAGCAUCAAAUAUGUGUGUGAAUACACACACUGUAACGCGAGUGUUGUACAUUUCUUUGUUGUUUGGAUAACCGUUCUGCUGUUGGCGCACGCGAUAUCCACAUUUCCAGAUUGCAGAGCUUGAUGUAAUUGUAAUAAGAAAGAUUGUAAAAACCUUUAAGAUAUAUGAAAUAUAAAAUAUGUAAACAAAUAAAUGAUGUUGGCAUGGUAGCACAUUUUCCACAAUGGCACCUAUCCAAAAAGGUAUUUGUAAUAAUAGCAAAGGUCUGACUAAUUUAGUUGCGCUGGUUAGUGUUUAUAGCUGAUAAUUAUAUAUAUAAUAUAUAUAUAAUAGCAAAUCAGAGCAACAUGAAAAGCCAACAAUGUAGGCUAGCAUUAGCUACAUGAUAAUAACAGCAUAACAGCACACAUAAACCAACUAAAGUACCGUAUCCAGACACAGUGUUUUAAACUAACCAUUCGGAGACGUCCUGCUGUAGCCGCUGAGUUGCAACUUCUUCAACCGGUGCUUCUCCAUCUGGAUCAGAUUCUGUGUCAAACUGAAAAGCUUGAACGACUGCGUGUCUACGAGUCAUUGCAAUACAUCCACUGUCAACAUUAGCACACAGUACCGUGGCCGCAAGCUGGUUAAAGCCACACCCAACCUCCACCUUGCCCCGCCUCUCUCCUCCUCAUUAGCAUUUAAAGCUACAGACCCAGAAACGGCACGUCCUGAGGAAAGUGUAUUGUGGGACUGGCUCAUAGUGGCUGAAAUUCUGCACCAAGGCUGAAUUUCAGGAAAGAGACUUCAGAUACAGUACCAGGGACCACUUAGGCCUAUAUAAAAGCAUCCAAAAAGUAGCAUGUCAUGGGACCUUUAACCGUUAUCUGUGUUUCUCUUCCUUGAGUGUACCUACUUGUACCAGAAUACCAGACCAAAUAACACAGCAGCAUGAGCACACCUAAACCAGAUACUUUCUAGGAGAUUGUGAACUCUCUCCACCGAGUAUUAACCAUGUCAAGCACCACCACACCAGUUGCUGCUCCGUUCACCACUUCUUCUCCUAUGGUUAUUUCCAGUCCCAUGGUCAAUCCAGCACCCUACUCUGGUUCAGCGGAGGAUCCAAAUGUUUUUUUCUUCAAUGCUUCCUGGCCCUGGAGAUGCAGCUGCAUCGAUUUCCAAUGGAAUUCGCCAAAGUGUCCUUCAUUAUGUCCCUGUUGGUGGGGUGUGCACUCCAAUGGGCCGAGACUAUCUGGCAAAAUGGACCAGUUACCCAGUCACUCGACACUUUUAUAGCCCAUUUCCGAGGAGUCUUUGGAAAACCUGUUGGUGACUCCUGUAUGGAACACCGACAGGAUCAGCAGUCCUCACACCAACCUCGUCAACCACCUAACUUUCUCUGGCUGAGUGGCAGAGAUGGCUGACCCAAGGUCUGUGCCUGUACUGUGAAGCUAGGGGGUAUGUUAUCUCAACAUGUCCCAUGGAGUGUGCCGUUAACAGUCCCACAAUUAGUUCUACUCCACUCACUUCAGUUGUAUGCCUUACUGCCUCUGGGUCAGCCAGCAAUUUAAUUUCUGGAAAGCUCUGCCGUUAUCUCAAGCUCAAGAAAAGUUGCAAUGAAACCCAAAAAGUUGGGUUGCAAUGAAGAAUGCUCUUGCAGCAGCAGAGAACACUAUCCAAGCUCCAUCCAUGUGCCUUCUUUUCCAGGAAAAUCACCCAGGCGGAAAGGAAUUAUGACAUUGGCAACUGCAAACUCCUAGCCAUCAAGCUGACCUUGGAAGAGUGGAGGCACUGGCUAGAGGGAGCUCUUCAUCCAUUCAUGGUGUUGCCAAAUCAAAUGAACCUCGAGCAUCUUCAGGAUACCAAGAGGCUCAACCUUCACCAGGCCAGAUGAGGCUCUGUUCUCUUAGUAUUCUUGAUGAGGCACCAAGAAUACUAAGGAUGACACCCUCUCUCAUCUUUAUGCUCUUGAAGAUUUUCAUUAGGUCCUCAGAGCCCAUAGUUCACUCUAGCCUCGAUGGGGCUGACGUACAACUAGCUCAGGAUUGUGCCUCUGAACCAGUUCUGCCAGGGUGUCCACCAGACCACACCUACAUUCAAAGAACCCAUAGAAUCCCUCUGAUAACUUCUGUUCAUUCCUCAGUGGGUACUGGCCACCCAGGGUCCAAUCAAACUCUCUCAAAUAUUGCUUCUGGUGGCCAAGCAUGGCACAAUACAUCAGAAUGUUUGUGCAAGGACGUCAAGACUGCACCAUCUCAAAGACUCCACGUCACUUACCAGCUGGCAAGCUCCUUCCACUACCUGUUCCGUGUCAGCCCUGGUCACAUCUAGGAGUGGACUUUGUCACCGACCUACCUCUCUCUGACGGUGUGACUGUGAGCCUCUCAUCUGAAUACCACGCACAGACGAAUGGGCAGAUGGAGAGGAAAAUCCAGGAGAUUGGACUCUCCCAGCACCACGUAGAAGAGGUUGGCUGCCUCGCCUCCAGGGUCCUCUGCCCUUAGAAGCGGGCAGUGGAGGGUGGGGGGUGUUGGUACUGCCAAGGAUUUACCAGGCUCCACCAUCACUCGCUAACUAUGAUCCCCAUCACUGGAAUACUAAUCACCAAACACCAGUCCCUCAUCAGCACCUUAAUCAGUCACUGCUUAUAAGCACACACCUCAGUCACACUCAUUGUCUGGUCUCAAUGCGGACUACAGACUUCCUACGUGAGAAAGACUUACCUCCAUUUCUUACCUCCAGCACUUUUUCUCCAUCGCUCCUUGUGAUCUUCUACUGUCCUCUUCAGAAGAUCCCUUCCUCAUUGUCACCUAUCUCCAUCACACUUCACUCCCACACUCACCUGGAAACUACCAUCAGCAAUUGAGGUGUGUGCACUCUAUCAUUCACAUGUCAUUACAGUCACAAUUUCCCAUCACAACCUGCAAAAAUAAAGGACAUUGUUAUUUCACUCAGUCAACCUAUAAAACUUGCAUUAUUGUCAUUUCUGCUCACCUGUUGUCUCACUGCUCCUCUGCUGCAAAUAAUACCCAUUAUCCAUUAUCUGUGCUUCAGGAUAAUGUACAAUCAACUGCACACUUCAAAUUGGGGUCCUGAUCACCCUGGCUGAGGUUUUAUUUUGCGAUAAUGAUGGACUGACUGUACAUUAUCCUUUACUCAUGUCAUAAGUAUAAAUGUUGAAAAGAAAAAGCAAAUAAGAAAAAAGCCCUAAAUCCCAAGAAUAGCCUAAAACAAAUGGUUGAGAAAGUCCAAAACUGCGUCUGUGGGCUUAUUUAACAUCCUCACCUUGUUUUAAAAGCUCUAAAGCUCUGAUGUCUUGUGGUAGCUUCAAAAGCAAAAUCAUCUUUUUAAAUCUAUUUAUGGAUCUUAAUAAACUCCUGACUUGCUUCAAGAGAUGUUUAUGGUUUAGACAUGUUUCUGUGUGUUUUAUAUUAAGUAUUUGUUCAAGGCUCAGAUUCAUUUCUAACUAAUAAUCAUACAGAACAAAGGCAUUUGUCAGUUUUAUAAAACCUCUGAAGCCAGCAUCAACUUUCUCAGCUAUCCAGAAAAAAAGAGAGAAUCUCUAGAAAAGCACUUUCAGAUAUUGAAAAUGAUACUGGUUUUAUUUAUCUGAUAAUGAAACUGUUUUGUUUAUCAGUUACAUUACUUAAAAACAUUACAUUCCAGAUUAGCAGGGCAACUUUAUCUAGUUACAGUCUGUUUAAAUCAUAGUUUCCAGUAGACUAGUAUCAUAUUAGAAGCAUUUGAAAGGUGUGGUUCAGAUCUGUGGAAUUUUCCCAGAACAAGCAGGGGGGAUUACUGUAUAGACAGAUAGACAAACCUGCACCAGCCCUUCCAGGUGUGUCCUUUUGCUAGAAAAGAAAAUCCACUUCAGACCUUGAUUCUACCCUUAACCAGCAAUGUAGAAUUCAAUGCCUGUUAAACUAUGUAAUGCUUGUUCUCUGUGACUCUAAACAUCUUACAUACUCAUGUCUCUCUUCAUACUCACCUUUUAGCCUGUCCCUUCUUCAGAACCCCCUAAUAAAGGCAGUUGGUUUAGUAUGUGGCAGAAGCUCAGUAGACAGGCACAUGACACAUGCUUGCAAACUUGCACCAGGUUGAGAGGUUGUAUAACUUUAAAAGAAUAUUUUUUUUCUUUGUGUUCUAUUUGAUUGAUUUGGUCAGUCCUGAUAUAGCAUAUGACAAAUGCAGCAGGGCCACACUUAGGUGACUAUUAUGUACUAACAUUUAAAUUAAGCAUUUGAUACAAUGCACUUCAUGUUGUGUACAUAUAUGUUUUUACAUUGUACUUGUAUUUUAAAAAUACCUGCAUGUAAUUAUACCUGUAAUUAAUUUCUGUAAUUACAUAUAUAAUCACAUUGUUGACCCUUCCCUUACACCUUAACCCAAGCUUAAACCUAACCGUACCACCAAACCUGUGCCUAACCUUACCCAAAUCCUACCUCAGUAGCAGCAAAAGUAAUUUGCAAUACAAUAUGAACACAAUAAGUACAUAGUAGUUAAGGACACCUAAUAUAAAGUGGCCCGCAGCAGUUUUUAAAGUGGUCACUAUAUGGUUAACUUAUAGUCUAUAGCUUCAGCAGAUGGAGGCUAGGUGUGAUUACUUACCCACAUUUUACAAAAACACAAUAAAAAUGAUUAUUGUAUCCAGCUUGUAAGUACAAGCACAUCAAGUGCUUCAAGUUCCCCAUAUCUAUAUAAAUGUAAAUAAUCAAGAUUAUUGAUGAAAAUUUAAAGCAGCUAAAUCACAAGGAACGUUCCAGUGUUCAAUCACUUCUCCACUAAAUGACUUCCUAAUAUGUAACAGUAUGGAUCAUGAUGGCAGUCGGUUUGAUCUGUGUCUACACAGGUGGGAAAGCACCUCAACCUUUAUCUUUAUGACUGUAACUCUGUCUGACUGGAAGGGGGUGGGGCGAUUUAAAGCACUUCUACUGUAGACUAAUGUGAGCCGUAAACGUGACGACCAGCAUCACAAAUCAAAGAUCACAGAAAGGUUUUUCAACGUCAUCAACAUGUAGUCAACCUGCUUCACCACUCAGCCGUGUGAGACCCCGCCACAUCCGCGCUCUGCGUCGCUCUACCAUAAAUGACGGGAGGGUGCAUAAAACCUCACCAACUUGCCACAUUAGAACUGAAGACCCGGCACAGACUAACACUCACCACUCACAAAUGUGUUGAAUUUUUCUCCACUCCAGUGCUGUUGUAAUAUAUAUGUCUAUAGUGGAGAGCAACUCACAGAUUUCUCAGAUUUUGUAUUUCGUGCUGCCCUCAGCAUUUGUAAUUACAAUAAACAAGAAUCUAUAAGUCAAAAAUGUUUCUCUUACUGUUUUUUCUUCUUCUUCUUCUUUUUAAAAUAUUUGUAUUCUUUUUGUUGUUGUAGCAGGCUGAAGUGAAGGACACUGUCUCUAUGGCCUUGCAGAUCCAAGAAUGAAAUAAAUGCAAGCAUUCCUGCAUUAAACAUCUGUGGUUGAACCGUUCACAUCAAUGGCUUGCUGUCUAAUCCAAGUGGAAAAGGAACAAAUAAAAAUCUGAACAAUAUAAUGUUGGAAAUAUUGUCAAGACAUUAUGUUGGAACUACAAGACAUUAUGUAGAUGUGCUGUAAAGCUAAAUCUUCACAUUAGCACUCUUUACAAAGCUGCAUUGUUUUAUUUCAUUUGAUAAAGUGUUGUCAUAUACUGUCCACACCACCAAUUCUGCUUAUUUACAAUGCUGUUAAAAUUGUUGCUUUACAAAAAAAAAAAUAAUAAUAAUUUCCCCAAUAAAAGUACUAUGAUA